CACUGUAACAUACCUAUACACAGCCUACAUCAACAUAAUGAUGAACGUGUGAAUGUUUUUACAGAAUUUUGUGACACAAGCUCACAUGAAUAAUCAAUUCCUGUCAUUAUUAUUUUAUAAUUUUGAUAUGUGGAACAUGAAUAUAUGCCUGAGCCUAAAGGACAUUCCCUGGACUCUUUAUUCCAUCAACAUUAGUGCCUGGAACUCACUUCCAUAUGCAGCCUCUCCUCCUGUGUAGCUAACAAUGUCACCUCCAUGGGUAUCUCAGUGAGUAGGUAAACAACCAAAUCUAAAUGCUAUCUUAGCCUUUGAUGAGUCACAGACCCCUUGCAGUGUGUCAUUUGGGGUGGGGGGCAUGUCCUACGAAAAAUCUCAAAUGGUAUUUUAUUAGUUCAUUACCUUUAACCAGGCCAGGUAUGGGGGCAAGGGGGCUUGAUGAAGGGUUGUUGGGCCAAGCCAGGCCAGGGUUGGGCUCUUGUGGGGGCUAAUGCCCCUCAGUGGUGGAGGGGGACCAGGUCUUUGUCCCAGUGGAGGGGAUUACACCGGCGGGGCGGCCCUAACAAUGUCUCCCCUCCUGGGAGGGCUGGGCAAACCUGCUCCCCCCAAUGACGGGUGUGGUCAACUGCUCACUGACUCAGUUAAACACAGUGAGAGAGAGGAGGAGAAGAGAGGGAUAGGAGGAGGAGAUGAAUGGAGGGGAGAGAGAAGAAUGAGCAGCAUGGAGUGAUACUCAACAAGGGUAACAGGGUAACAGAGAAGGAGAAAGUGGAGAGGAGAGGAUGGAGGUUGGAGAAGAAGAGGGUGGAGGUUGGAGGAGGAGAGGGUGGAGGUUGGAGGAGGAGAGGAUGGAGGUUGGAGGGGGAACGAGUUAAGGUUGGAGGAGGAGAGGAUGGAGGUAGGAGGAGGAGAGGAUGGAGGUAGGAGGAGGAGAGGAUGGAGGUUGGAGGGAGAGCGAGUUAAGGUUGGAGGAGGAGAGGAUGGGGUAGGAGGAGGAGAGGAUGGAGGUUGGAGGAGGAGAGGAUGGAGGUUGGAGGAGGAGAGGAUUAAGGUAGGAGGAGGAGAGGAUGGAGGUAGGAGGGAGAGCGAGUUAAGGUUGGAGGAGGAGAGGAUGGAGGUUGGAGGAGGAGAGGAUGGAAGUUGGAGGAGGAGAGGAUGGAGGUUGGAGGGAGAGCGAGUUAAGGUUGGAGGAGGAAAGGAUGGAGGUUGGAGGAGGAGAGGAUGGAAGUUGGAGGAGGAGAGGAUGGAGGUUGGAGGAGGAGAGGAUGGAGGUUGGAGGAGGAGAGGAUGGAGGUUGGAGGGAGAGCGAGUUAAGGUUGGAGGAGGAGAGGUUGGCGGGAGGAGGAGGAGAGGAUGGAGGUUGGAGGAGGAGAGGAUGGAGGUUGGAGGUUGGAGGAGGAGAGGAUGGAGGUUGGAGGAGGAGAGGAUGGAGGUUGGAGGAGGAGAGGAUGGAGGUUGGAGGGAGAGCGAGUUAAGGUUGGAGGAGGAGAGGAUGGCGGUAGGAGGAGGAGAGGAUGGAGGUUGGAGGAGGAGAGGAUGGAGGUUGGAGGAGGAGAGGAUGGAGGUUGGAGGAGGAGAGGAUGGAGGUUGGAGGGAGAGCGAGUUAAGGUUGGAGGAGGAGAGGAUGGCGGUAGGAGGAGGAGAGGAUGGAGGUUGGAGGAGGAGAGGAUGGAGGUAGGAGGAGGAGAGGAUGGAGGUUGGAGGAGGAGAGGAUGGAGGUAGGAGGAGGAGAGGAUGGAGGUUCGAGGAGGAGAGGAUGGAAGUAGGAGGAGGAGAGGAUGGAGAUAGGAGGAGGAGAGGAUGGAGGUAGGAGGAGGAGAGGGUGGAGGUAGGAGGGGGAGAGGGUGGAGGUUGGAGGAGGAGAGUAUUAAGGUAGGAGGAGGAGAGGAUGGAGGUAGGAGGAAGAGAGGGUGAAAGGAUCAGGUGUGGUAGGAGGAGGAGAGGGUGAAAGGAUCAGGUGUGGUAGGAGGAGGAGAGGGUGAAAGGAUCAGGUGUGGUAGGAGGAGGAGAGGAUGAAAGGAUCAGGUGUGGUAGGAGGAGGAGAGGAUGAAAGGAUCAGGUGUGGUAGGAGGAGGAGAGGAUGAAAGGAUCAGGUGUGGUAGUAGGAGGAGAGGAUGAAAGGAUCAGGUGUGGUAGGAGGGAAAGGAGACCAGUGGCUCAAAGAACAAGAAGAUAAAUAAAGGAGUGAAGGAGAAGAGCGGAAUGGUGAGCUAGGUGAGGAUGACUCUGCAGGUACUGGAUGUAAAAUGUGUAAGUCUGAGGCCUUUCCUUAUGUACUUCAAUAUCAAAGUCCUCAUUAUGCCCACGCACACCGCCCAUUCAAAUCCAAUGACAAAUGCACCAGAUAAUUCCAUUAGGGGGGACUUCUAUAGAGGAUAUUUAGGGGACAGUAGAGAAAUCCAGGUAACAUAGCUCAACGCGGGCAAAGACAGAUAUGGCUCCGUAACACUUAUCAGGGAUUUGGCAGCCCUGUUGAUUGAACAUGCCAAGUCCCAUUUGUCGGAGGGGUGUGCACGUUUGUAUCGACACGCUGUAACCUUGUGGCUCCACAGAAGGAGACAUCAGAUGUGCUGCUAGCGGGCACACAGGCAGACAGGCAGGCAAGCAGGAGAGGGUGGGUGGGUUGGUAGGCUCCCCUCCUCUUCCCUUCUCUCUACUUCUCUCUCUCCUACUCUCUUCUCCUCUUCCGGCUGCAGUGGACAGGAGCCCCCCUCCUCCAUCCCCAGUGGACGGGAGCCCCCCUCCUCCCUCCAUCCCCAG
rnacentral:lncRNA from 1 species